rnacentral:rRNA from 1 species
GUCUACGUCCAUGCCACCCUGAACAAGCCCGAUCCCAUCUGAUCUCAGAAGCUAAGCAGGGUUGGGCCUGGUUAGUACUUGGAUGGAAGACCACCUAGGAAGACCAGGUGCUGAAGGAG